AUACGUAGGUGGCAAGCGUUGUCCGGAAUUAUUGGGCGUAAAGCGCAUGUAGGCGGUUUGGUAAGUCGGUCGUGAAAAUGCGGUGCUUAACGCCGUAUGGCGAUUGAAACUGCUGAACUUGAGUGCAGGAGAGGAAAGGGGAACUCCCAGUGUAGCGGUGAAAUGCGUAGAUAUUGGGAAGAACACCGGUGGCGAAGGCGCCUUUCGGGCCUGCGUGUGCAACUCAGAUGCGAAUGCCAGGGUGGAGACCGGGAUUAGAUCCCCCGGUAGCCCUGGCCGUAAACGAUGGUUACUAGGUGUGGGAGGUAUCGCCUCCUUCCGUGCCGGAGUUAACGCAAUAAGUACCCCGCCUGGGGAGUACGGCCGCAAGGCUUAAACUCAAAUGAAUUGACGGGG
rnacentral:rRNA from 1 species